rnacentral:rRNA from 1 species
GACGAACGCUGGCGGCGUGCUUAACACAUGCAAGUCGAACGGAAAGGCCCUGCUUUUGUGGGGUGCUCGAGUGGCGAACGGGUGAGUAACACGUGAGUAACCUGCCCUUGACUUUGGGGUAACUUCAGGAAACUGGGGCUAAUACCGGAUAGGAGCUCCUGCUGCAUGGUGGGGGUUGGGAGGUUUCGGCGGUUGGGGAUGGACUCGCGGCUUAUCAGCUUGUUGGUGGGGUAGUGGCUUACCAAGGCUUUGACGGGUAGCCGGCCUGAGAGGGGGACGGGCCACAGUGGGGAUGAGAUACGGACCAGACUCCGACGGGAGGCAGCAGUGGGGAAUAUUGCACAAUGGGCGGAAGCCUGAUGCAGCAACGCCGCGUGCGGGAUGACGGCCUUCGGGUUGUAAACCGAUUUCGCCUGUGACGAAGCGUGAGUGACGGUAAUGGGUAAAGAAGCACCGGCUAACUACGUG